UACGGAGGAUGCGAGCGUUAUCCGGAUUUAUUGGGUUUAAAGGGUGCGUAGGCGGGAUGCCAAGUCAGCGGUCAAAUACGGGGGCUCAACCUGCGUCCGCCGUUGAAACUGGCUGUCUUGAGAUGUCGAGAGGUAUGCGGAAUGCGCAGUGUAGCGGUGAAAUGCUUAGAUAUUGCGCAGAACUCCGAUUGCGAAGGCAGCAUACCGGCGGCGAUCUGACGCUGAGGCACGAAAGCGUGGGUAUCGAACAGG
rnacentral:rRNA from 1 species